CAGGCAAGGAAUAAAUGGGUAGAAAACAAGCCCAAGGUUCUCGUGAUCGCCCUCUUUCCAUCUCACCUAAGAAGAUUCCACACGCCACUCUUUAACUCUUCAACUUGCCACAGGAUUCAGAUCAAGAACCGGUUUCGUCUCUGCUUACGCCGAGGAAGCUGGCUGAUUCCAAAUCUGCCUUGGGACAAUGUGUUUCUUCGAGUAACACUCGGUUGUUGUCUGUGCUUCUUCCUUUGAGAUCCAUGAAGCGCCACUUGGCGGUGGAACACUCGUGGGAGAAGAACAAGUUAGGUUGGGUCAUUUAAGAGCUGGUAGUCCACGGUCUGGAGUGGUGUUCUAACCUGCAUGCGUGUCUGCUGCCACAAUGUCAUUUGUCUUUUGUUCUAUCUCAAGAAUUUAAAGGAUGUAUUGUUCUAUAUCACAGUGCAUACGACAUGGAGGAUGAAAUCAUAAUUUUGAAGCUGCUUCUCUUGUUUUAAUGGCAUUCAUUUUCCUGAGUCCCA
rnacentral:lncRNA from 1 species